UAGAAACGCAUAUAACCAAACGACACUUCUCGUCGCGAUCGUCGUACGUUCCGCGUGUGCAAACGAGUUAAACCGCGGGUGUUUGUAUUUAGAUGAAGAGAAUAUCUCUGUAUUUAUUGCGUGUCUAUAUUUACGUGUGUGUGUAUGUUGUGUACUGAGAGAGAGAGAGAGAGAGAAAGAGAGACUAGAUGCUGUUUAUCGUGUGGUAAUUCUGUAGAUCGAAGUGAGAAUUAAGUCACUGUAAAGAAAAUCCGAACGACGACGACAACAACGACGACAACGACGACGACGAAAGAGGCUACAACGACGAAACAUGGCAACAAACAUGAUCGCAGAACACGAGAACGAGAUUAGGGUUAGGUUGAGAAGGACAAAGAGCGUCACACAUGCCGAGGAAAUCCAAAAGGCCGAACAGCUCGUCCGAAAAUCCCAACCUGAUAAACCAUGUCAUCGGCCAAGAGACAGUCUCUUUUCAUGGAGCUCGGGUUUCGAUAACUUUACGGGAUUCGUCAAUUGGGGCUUCCUCAUGCUUGGAAUCGGUGGAAUUCGUUUGCUUCUUGAAAAUUUUAUCAAAUACGGGAUAAGAGUGGAUCCAAGGCAAUGGUUUCUAUUUCUGAGCGGCAAGUACGACGGCGGUGAAGAGCAUCCUUCGAUUUUGUUGAUCGUUUAUUCCAUCGUGCCGGUGACUCUUUGCCUGUUGAUAGAGAAGGGAAUGUCUCUGGAUAUCAUAUCUCAUGGCCCAGGAAUGGUGUUCCACAUCGUAAACCUCAUCGUGAUGGUACUGAUGCCGAUGGUGGUCAUCCACGUGAAGGAUUCCGGAUUCAGCCUGAUUGGUGCCAUGUACGUCUGUACUCUCUAUGCCAUUCUAUUCUUGAAGCUUUGGUCGUACAUACAAGUGAACAUGUGGUGUCGCAUUAGCCGUAGAAAAACAUCAACCCAAGGUAGAAUGCGCCGACAAUCCUUGUCUUAUAAUAAUCUUCAAUCAACGAACAUGAAGCAAAACGGUGUGGAAAGCGACGACAUCGGGCACGAAGUGAACGGUUGUGGCACUGCAUUGGUGCAAUAUCCAGACAACUUGAAUUUCGGCGACCUUUAUUAUUACAUCCUGGCACCAACCCUCUGCUACGAAUUAAAUUUCCCUAGGACCCAGAGAAUACGAAAAAGGUUUUUGAUAAAACGCAUCUUGGAAGUCGUCGUUGGCUGUCAAGUUGUUAUGUCACUGUUCCAACAAUGGAUGAUUCCUUCGGUGAAGAAUUCACUUAUACCAUUCAGUAACAUGGACGUUGCCAAGGCCUCCGAACGUCUUCUCAAAUUGGCUAUACCGAAUCAUUUGAUGUGGCUAUGCUUCUUCUAUCUGAUAUUUCACUCGUAUUUAAAUUUGAUGGGCGAAUUAUUACACUUCGCCGAUCGAAAUUUUUAUUGCGAUUGGUGGAAUUCGAACAAUAUCGAUACGUUUUGGAGAAGUUGGAAUAUGCUGGUACAUAGAUGGGCCGUAAGGCAUCUUUAUAUACCGGUCGUCGAGAUGGGUUAUAGCAAGACGACGGCAUCGAUUACGGUCUUUUUCAUAAGUGCAUUCUUUCAUGAAUAUCUUGUCAGUGUACCAUUGAAAACAUUUAAAAUUUGGGCAUUCAUGGGUAUGAUGCUUCAAAUGCCGUUGUCCGCGUUGAGCAAGCUGGUAGAGAGACAUUGGGGCGCCAGGUGGGGUAACAUCGUCGUUUGGUCGAGUCUCAUCAUUGGACAACCCCUUUGCAUUCUGAUGUACUAUCACGACUAUGUGGUUACUCAUUUUGGGGAGACACUGCUCGAGGAUUACUCGAUCGUAUAAAAGGAGUAUAAUUUAUGAAUUAGAAAUAUCAAUAAUGAGAAAGAGAGAGAGAGAGAGAGAGAGAGAGAGAGAGAGAGAGAGAGAGAGAGAGAGUUAAAGGAAUAAGAGAAUGAAAAAGGAGUAAAGAAUUUGUAUCGUUAAAAAUUUGAUAAUUUUAAUUGACACUAGAAUUAUUUUUUUAAUAUUUAAACAAUUGGUGGUUGGUGUGUCGGUUAAACGUUUUUCUUUUUUUAUUUUUUUCUUUCUUUUUUUCUUCUCUAUCCUUCUUUUUUUCUUUCAUCGUUUGUCUUCUACAAGAAAGAACGAAGAAAUAUAUGAAUUAAAGAAAAAAAAAGAAAAGAAAGAAAAAAAAAAAGAAAGAAAAGAAAACAAAUAUGUGUGUAAGAUCGAGGAUAGUACGAGUGCCUUAUAAAUAUAUAUAUAUAUAUAUAUGUAUAUAUAUAUAUAUAUCUCGUCAUGAUUCCUUAAGUUUCUUUUUUGUUUUUCUUUUUCUUUAAAAAAAAAAAAAAAAAUUUCUUUUUCUUCUUAUUAUUUCUUUUCUCUUUCUUUUCUUCUUUAUUACAAUUAACAACGUACACUUACGUAUUAUAACAUCGUGGUAAUUAACGUAGUUGGUAUUUGGAUAAAUUCUAUAAUAAUGUUAAUGUAGACAUUCUUUCGAAGAAAUUAUACAUGUGUAUGUGUCUGAAAGAGAGAGAGAGAGAGAGAGAGAGAGAGAGAGUGUGUGUGUGUGUGUGUAUGUAUGAGAGAGAGAGAGAGAAAGAGAGAAAGAGAGAGAGAGAGAGAGCAAAACUCUUGGAUUUAAUAGUUAAAUUGGAUUUUGUUAGAGAACAAAAAAAAAAAAAGGAAAAAAAAUUAAAGAAGGAAAAGAAAGAAUGAAAAGGACAAGAAUAAUGCACGUACAUAUAUUUAAAUUAUUCGCCAUAUAUGAUAUCAUGGUGCACAGAUCGCUUCGUAUAAAGGUUAACUUGUAUUUUCUAUGGAAAUGCUUCUACGUUUUCGAUUUCAUACUUUAUAUAUAUAUAUAUAUAUGUAUGUAUAUAUGCUACUAAUGAAAGAAAAACACGUUCCAUUUCUGGUAGCUGGUAGAUAAUCAUUUACUCGAGAACGUAGUUUUAAACGUUUCGUUAGAUAUCAGAAUCAUAAGUUUUCAAUUUUAUCUUGCAAAAAAAAAUUUUCUAAUUUCCCAGGUGCUCUUUGGAUAAUAUAUAUGCACGUUCGAACAAAUUUUCUUUUCUUGUCUUUUUUUCUUUUUUUCUUUUUUUUUGCUUUUUUUUUCUUUUUAUCCGAAAAAGAGCACAAAAUUGACGAGGUCCUUUUAACACUUUCCCCUUCUUUGUACUUAAAGAGACUAAUCGGAAAGUGUAAUUCCUCAAAGAAAAAAAAAAAAGAAAAAAAAAAGAUAAAGAAAAA